UCUUGAAGUCAUAUGAUCCAUUCAUAUAUGAAUAUUUGGCAUUUAUUACUCAUCUCAACAUUUGCUAACAAUAACAAAAAUAAAUUCAACUGUCAGGUGCUACAACAUCACAUCUUAAGAAAACAAACGCUAAGAAAGAUGGUGAGAGAGAGAGAGAGAAAGAGAGAAAGGAAGGGAGAGAGACCGAGUAGCAUAACUGAGAGAGCAGCGGCAAACCACCAACUCCGGCGGUCAGGCCAAAUUUCUAGCUUUCCAGUAAUGAGACUUACUCCAAUCAAGCCUAGUUGAAUCGGGAGACUCGGAAGGUGAAAGGAGAAAGAGAACCAGCAGCUACGCGCUACUAGUGCCAGGCCAGCGAAGCCAACCGGAUCCUCCUCCACGCAGCAAAUUGCAAAAUUGAAGGUACGUACUUUAGGGUGUAAAUUAAUGUAACUUAAAUUCGAAGAUCACGACAAGUUAAUUAAAAAUUAAUUUCUCUCUCUCUCCGUUUCCUCCAUAAUUCAAACAAAGGGUUAGUUUCUGUCUGAACUAACAUUUCAGAAGUAAAACUAAUAACAAUUACAAUUUGAACAAGAAACAAAGUGAAGAGAAAAAAUAAUAAAUAAAAUAGGGAUCUCACCCAUCAGAAGACUAGUUUUUCUUGUGCUUUCCAUGCCUUUCUUUUGCCAUCUCCGACUUCGCAUUGCCAUUAUUCUGGUUGCUAACAGAGCCUUCUUGAGCACUGCACAACUGAGACUUUAGCUUAAAUCCAAAUUUCUUAGACACAUUUCCCCAAGUGCUGGAACCUUUCGUUCGACCCAUCUUCUCAAUCUCCUGCCUCAUAAUGGAACACUCCAUCUCAAGCUCAGACACCCUCAUCCUCAUAUUAUCCAUUCCCACCUUCAAAACCAGAUUCUCUCUAACAGCUGUGGCCCAGCCUCCCUCGGUAGACCCAACAAAGCCACUUCUCAGUUGUCUUGACCCAUCUAGGUUGUCGGAAACCAGAAAGCAGCCGGCAAUAGAUGUCCUUAGCUGAAGUUGCUCAAAGAAGAGAACUCGGACUAUUAUUCUUAACGGUAGCCUUUCAUUCUGCGCGGCAUGAGUACAAGCUUCCAAGGAGAGCUUCUGGCAGUCCAUCAGCCUACAGAGCUGUUCUCUGUCAGACUCUGCCAACCACGGGUGUGACUUCAAGUAAACGUCUAUGGCACGAUAAAGACCAUCAUCCAGGGGCCGGGCAUAUUCAGGAACAGCAGCAGCAAGAGCCUGAAACUUGGGGAGCUUCAAAUUCACAUCAGGAGCAACCUCUGCCAGGUAUCCAUCGAUCAGUUUGGCCACCAACGUGAUUGGUGUUAAUGAUGGCGAUCCAAUCAAAUGGCUAUCAUCUACUGAACAUGGAGACGCCCCACCUGUAAUUUGAUCCAUGGCAAGGAAGUGUUCAAGAAUCCGCUGCACACAGUCAACAUUGUAAAGUGUCUCCAUUGAAUAAGAGAAAUUGGGCAUCAAAAGAUCUUCUAGGGUUGCUUGAUCAAGCUGCAUGCCAAUCCUUUUCUCUAAGUUUGAUAAACAAGAGCUUGCUUUUAGAAUCAAGGCUGUCCGAAGAAGACCAAACAGGAACUUGGUAGGGACUAGGCCCUUCUGCAUUGGAAGCAACCUAUCAAUAUCUUCAAGCAAAGCCUUCUGGUCUUCUUCUGAUGGUGGAGCCAAACCCACAGCCAUUAAACGGGAACUAGACUCACUAGCACCUUGACGCCUAUUCAACCCGGGCAGGUACUUUUUGGCAUAGAAAGCAAGGGAUCCAGCAAUAACCUCUUGUCUGACACCACGAGAUUCCAUUAUGGAAAUCAACCUCUUAUAGAGAGGUAAACUUAAAGUCAACACAUCCUCAUACCACCAAUCUGAACUUGAUUUUUUGGGUCUAGCCCCUGUGCUUAUCCCAUUCCACAAGACACUUCCUCCAGGACUCUGCAUGGGCCCAUGCUCCACUAUAGGCCAUCCAAAAAGAUUAGGGUCAGUGCAUGCUUUUGUGGCUAGUGACUCGAUACACCUCUUUGUAAUAUGAAGUUCCUCAGCAUAGGUAAGAAUAUCAUCACAUGUUUGAAGUGCCUUUAAAGAAUCGUUCCAAUUACCAAGGACUACUUGCUUAAAAAAGGUCUCAGUCUGCAUAAUUAGAUUGCCCUCCCCAUAAUCCUCGGUCAUUUCAAGAUGCUCAGCAGCACAACGGAGGUACACAACAUUUGAGGAGGUAAGUUCAAGUUUGACACCAUAACAGAACUUGGCCACAAGUUCAAAUGUUUUGGCCCCACCAGGAAUGUCAGGGAGAUUUGUCACACAUUUGUCAUCCCCUUCUUCCAAUGCUUCUGCAAUCAACCUUUCCAUAACCCCACUUCUAGAUAGCAAAGGGAACUUGUGAAGAUGGAAGGACAUCUCCCCCACUUCCACAACAAUAUCACUAGGAAGGCCAGUUGUGCAGAACCAGGCCUGCCCUUGCUUUUGGAAUGCAUCACUUUUAGAUCCCAGUUUCAUGCAAGCCAUUUUCUCAGAAUGCAAGCAGCGAAAUCUUAGAGAACAGAGCUCCCUGUGCAGUUAAGCUAAUGCAGAUCUUAAAGUAGACCUAAGCCGGCAAUUCCAAACCAAAUAAACUCCUUAUUUAGAGCAAUACACCAGUACCAACCCCAAACAAGACAAAGAAAACAAACAAUACCAGAUGUGAUUGUUAUCCUCAAUUAAUCAACAAUCUCAAAUCAAAAAGCCCCCUCAAAUUUUUCAAGAAACCACUCUAGAAUUCCUGAAGCAAAGCCUCCCAAGACCAUGAAAUAGCAUCAAAAUGUAGCUCCCUGCCUAAUAGUCCUGCCAAAAACAGUCCAAAAUCUACACAAAGACACAGCAAACCACAGAAACUCUCUUACCUACUUCAGAAAACCACUCCAAUAAGCCAUACCCACUUCAGAAAAUGACUCAAAUCCCUGCCCAGAACCACGAAAAUCACAUAAUCAGACACUAACUAGAUGUCUGUCAAUAACAGAAGACACGAAUUUCAGGUCAACCCCUUCAAAUUUGCUUUUAGAGAAAACAAAUGUUACUAUUUUCGCUGGCCAAAACCUCCCAACAAGAUUCUCCAUUAAAGAAAGCGAAGAAACAAGUUCCUACUCCAAUAAUAAUUUAUAGCCUUAUACCCACAAAAGGAUAAUGUCUCCAAAGCCAUGGUAUACAAAUGCCCAAGAAAAAAAAGACUUGAAACUCUCAGUGAAGAGUGAAGAGGGUGGGGUAUUAAUAAUAAUCCAGAAAGCAAGUCUCCUACACGCUGGUUCACGCGGGUCCAAAUGGCUUAAAACAGUCAUUGCAGUUCUGGAACUUGGAUUUUACAGAAUCUUUAAAAACUUUAAACAGUAGUUGACAGGAUUGAGCAAAAAAGGGGAAGACGUCACCGCAUCAGGCAUGGAUUCUUGGAUUUAUUAAGGAAUUUUUCUUUAUUUUUUUUAUUAGAUUAAUGACAAGAAGUGACCUUUGAGGUUACAUAUAUCUGCUUUGUUGACGGGGGCCAUGUGCUUCAAGCGUUACCUUGCGCUUUUAUGGAGGAUAGAAUAUGCAAAAUGUUUAUUUAGAUUAAAUUAUUUU
rnacentral:misc_RNA from 1 species